rfam:Fukomys damarensis contig124919, whole genome shotgun sequence.
AUCACUUCUUGGCCUUUUGGCUAAGAUCAAGUGUAGUAUAGUGAGUUCAAGGCCAGCCUGAACUACACAGUGAGACCUUGUCUCAAAAAUAAAUAAAUAAAUAAAUACAGGUCUUACAUACAUACUGUUUACAAGCUACCUUGUCUUUUGAAAUCCCAUCCUUUCAUAGGCCUGAUAUGACAUCAU